rnacentral:rRNA from 1 species
CCUACGGGUGGCUGCAGUGAGGAAUAUUGGUCAAUGGACGAGAGUCUGAACCAGCCAAGUAGCGUGAAGGAUGACUGCCCUAUGGGUUGUAAACUUCUUUUAUAUGGGAAUAAACUGUUCCACGUGUGGGAUUUUGUAUGUACCAUAUGAAUAAGGAUCGGCUAACUCCGUGCCAGCAGCCGCGGUAAUACGGAGGAUCCGAGCGUUAUCCGGAUUUAUUGGGUUUAAAGGGAGCGUAGGCGGAUUCUUAAGUCAGUUGUGAAAGUUUGCGGCUCAACCGUAAAAUUGCAGUUGAAACUGGCAGUCUUGAGUACAGUAGAGGUGGGCGGAAUUCGUGGUGUAGCGGUGAAAUGCUUAGAUAUCACGAAGAACUCCGAUUGCGAAGGCAGUUCACUGGACUGCAACUGACACUGAGGCUCGAAAGUGUGGGUAUCAAACAGGAUUAGAUACCCGAGUAGUC